GGGUGUCCCACGAAGUUCUGACAAAUGAAAUAACUUGUAUUCUAAUCAAUAUUUUUUCAUUUUUUUUUUUUUAUACAAUUAAUAGACGUUUGUACUACACGUAUAAUAUAAACUUUUUUAUUUUCAUUUUUUUGUGCAUAAAAUAAGAAAUUUUAAAUUUGAUUUUCAUUUUUUUCAAAAAAUUCAAAAUAGCCAAUUUAUAAACAUAUUGAAAAAAAUAGAUUUAACGUUUACGGUAUUUAAUUUGAGUAAUCCAUUUGCGACUUAUUAACAUUUAAAUAUUCGUUCAAUUUACUGCUACUGGGAAAUUUAUCAAACCCAAUAGUAAAAACCAGAAGCCAAAAUGAAAUUAUAUCUCAAUUUAAAGAUACCCAUUACGGUCAAAAUCGAUAAUAACUAAUAAGUAAUGAGUUUAGUAUGUACUAUGUACAAUGGUCAUACGAAUUGGACAUUUGGACCUUCCUUUCCAAUCCCCACUCCUACCAGAACACUGAUUGUUGAGUGAACAACGUCAAGCCUGUAGUUGUAGUCUGCCGCAGCUGUAUCAGCCUGCAGAAUAUCAGCUAUAAAGUAUAAAAAUAACAUUUUACAAUUUACCUUCAUGGUUACAUAAUGUAGCACUGGUUAUUGAUUCUUGGUAUACGGUUUUAUCACUUAUCACGUUUGUAGAUAAACGAGAAUUAACAUUAAGAUUUUUAACCUUAAACGGUUAAUUUACAGCACGAUUUAUGAUAAUUUUAUUAUGUUAGAUCGUGAUCAACAAUUAACGAAUGUAAAUUAUUGAUAGUAGUAAAUAAUAAUAAAUAUUUUUAUUCAAUGAUUUCAACUUAUUACUUAAUGAAGUGAUCAGUAUUAUAGAAUAAGUAAUACAUUUUAAUGAUAUGUCGACGAAAUGUUGACAAAGAAGAAUUUGGCGUAUCCGUCUUCUGUAUCACAAAAAAAAAUAAUAAAAACAAAGUACCUACUAGGUAUACCAAUUACAAUUAUUUCAAAUUUAUCAAUUAAAAAAUUGUAUGAAGAGCCUUUAUCAUUCAAUUUGAGGGAAUGUCAAGUCCAAUUAAGUAUAUCUUAAACCAAGUAAUUGAUAAGUCAUCCUUAUUACUUUUUACAUAUUUGCAAUAUAAUGCACCAAAAUCUUCAAAAACUUCGAUUGUUAAGAAAGUAUUUACUUUAAACGUUAAAUAAUCAACAAAGAAAGUGUACCUAAUGUGUACUUACCUUUCAAUGCAAGAAUCAAAGAAGAUAUGAAAUAAGAAAAAAAUUAUUACUUAAUAAUUUUUAAUGGUGACAUUAAUAUACAUUUUAUUGCUCGAACAACAACUGGCCUAAACUAGAAGAAAUAUUUUUCAACAAUAUGUAUGCAAAUUGAAAACUAUGUAGUAUUUUGAUUUAUUUAUAAAUAAAGUACUAUAAUAAAACUAAGAAGUUUAAUUUGUUGGUUACCGCGGGUCAUUACAAGCAUUGUGGACUAGGUACUGACCAUUAAAAAAAAAAAGGCUCGUCAUAAAAUUUCCAUAAAUAUGAUCCAAUUACUACAAUUAGUUUACUGUUUGAUGUGUCAGAACAAACAUAGAACAUUAACUGGUGAUAAACUUUAUUUGGAUUCAUCUAAAUUCUCAUUAUUGUCAAAACAAAAUCAAAUAGAAAGUCUUAUCACAAAAUGUAAAAGUGACUUUCCACAUGGAUUUCAUAAUUCAACAAUGUAUACCUACUCACAACAUUGAAUAUCACAUAAUAUCUUGACUGUUUGAAUAUUAACAUACAUGCACUACACCAGCUAUGCAAUCUAACUGUACCAAUAGAUAAAUUAAGUAUGAUUAAAUUAGUUAAAUUAUAAAAAACAUAUGUUAUAGGUGUUAUAAUUUUAAUAAUAAUACUAUACUGAGAAAAAUCUAAAAUUCUACAAAAUACUUAGCAAAGACAACUUUUUCUAAAUUUAACAAAAUGUGAGACUAAGGUCGUAGACUUCUAGCGUAUAAAGAUCUUUAUUUAGUUCUAUUUUUUUCAAAUUUAUCUAUAUCUUUGUCACAGAUGAGGUGGAUUAUAAGCAGGAAACUUUUUCAUUUUUUUUCUUAGAAGUAACGAUUAGAUUUGUUGAAUUACUAAAAGAUUUUAGAUUUUACACAAAUACUCUGCUUAUGC